GCCAGCGUAGCUCAAUGGUAGAGCAACGCACCCGUAACGCGUAGGUUGUCGGUUCAAAUCCGACCGCUGGCU
rnacentral:tRNA from 1 species